rnacentral:lncRNA from 1 species
CAGGUUUAAAUGUAAUUUCUUGAGCCUCAGACCCAGCAGAAAAGCCAAGCUUUGGUUUUAUUAAAGUUUCCAGCAGGGGGAGGGUGCUGAAUUUGGGAAAAACCAAUUUCUCCGUGCUGUUUCCACCCAGUUGGAGCCAAGUGCUCUGGGAGCAAUGACUCGGGGACAGGAUUCCCAGGAGAGCUGGCAGCUGUGUUGUCUCCUAAAAAUAUCUCAAAAAACCCGCUCCAACCUGUCGGAAAUAGCGCGGGGAAGGAGCGGGAUGCGCUCCUGGGCUCCGGCAGGAGCCGGGAGGGGAUGUGACAGCAGAGAGGUGACAAAGCCGCGGGACAAGCAGCAGGAGCAUCCGAGGAGGAGGAGGAGGAGGAGGAGGAGGAAGGCUCUCCUGAAUGACAGCAACCCACAGCAAAGUGGUGACAGGGUUUGUCCCCUCCCCACACCCCCCAUGCCCUCUGGGGACCGUUCCUGCGCCCCCAGGAUGCUGGAGCAGCUUUCCUUGGCCAAGCUGGAGUGGGAGGAGGGAUCCCAGAGGAUCCCGUGGGGUCUGGGCAGCUCCAGGUCUCCAGCUCUGCCCGUCCCCAGCACAGCAACACCACCCACCCCUGGCAGUGCCACAGGGACCCCCAGGAAAGGCACUUGUGGCAUCAGGAGCUGCCCUGGCCCCGUGGUGAUCCCAGCAGGAAUUCUGGAUCCAAGCCCUCCCUGUGACAGGGCACAGCUGAGAGCAGAGGGGAGGAACUCGCCCCAAACUCACACCCUGCUCCAGACCCCCCCAACAAGCCAGGCAGCCCCAAAAUUAAGGUGAGGAGCCAUCAGCUCCAAAAGAUCCUGAAAAUGCAUUUUGAAGAAAAGUGUUUUUUUUUUUUUUUUUUUAAUGCGGGAUUUGGGGCAAGCUGGUCUCAUGGAAGUUAUUUUGUUUGGAAAUCCAAACAAUUCCGGGAUUCUGUGAUUUGGUUUUGGCAAGCUGGUCUCAUGGAAGUUAUUUUGUUUGGAAAUCCAAACAAUUCUGGAAUUCUAUGAUUUGGUUUCUUUGCCUGAUCUGCUCUGAUCCAAGACAAAAAACACCAGGAGGAGCAGCCCUACUGUGGAAAACUGGUCAGAGCUGAAACACCUCAGUGGAAAAUUAAAUUUGGAGUGGGGGGAGCAGCGCAGGGGGUGCUGCUGAUCAUGACUCUGAUUUUUGGGGACCUGGCAGAGCUCUGCCAAAGCUGCUCCUGCUGCCAGCAGGGAAUCACCAACUCUCCAUGAGCACCCCAGGAAUGUCCUCUUCCUCUUUAACACGAGACCUUUGUGGUUUUUUCCAUGGCAAGAAGUGAUUUUCCAUGGAGCCAGCAACCCCAGCUGAGCACCAGGAUUGCACCAGCACCACUCAGAGGUGAAAAUCAAAGGGAUUUGAAACACUUGAGCUGGGGAGGGGACGAAAGCUCCUCCUUUGGUGGCAGGAGCCCCUCUCCUUGCUGCACUGGGGGUGGUGUGUUAUUGCCUUCCCUUAAACAACAAUUUUCUGGGAUUUUUGGAAGUUCUGGUGGCACCAGCUUCAUUCUAUUCUUGACUGGCUGGGAAGUGUUGCUGUGUUUGAUCUUCCCUCGAGGUCUGAGAGAAGGAAAGGGAACAAUUUUAUCCUUCUGGAAAUCACAUCUGAGUUGUUUGUUCGCUUUUUUUUUUUUUUUUUUUUUUUUUUUUUUUUUCCCCCCCCCCCCCCCCCCCCCCCCCCCCCCCCCCCUUUUUUUUUUUUUUUUAGUUUUCUUUUUUGUUUGUUCGCUUAUUUUUAGAUUUUUUUUUUUUUUCAAAUAUUUUUAGAUUUCUCAACUGAGCUACCCCAAAUCAAAGGGUAAAUUUUCAAUUGUCCACCUUAAUGGUUUGCUCACUAAAAUCUGUGGAUCAUGAAUGGUCCAGAGGAGCUGCUGCCUUUUAACUAUUGAAACACAGCAGCAGCAGCUGGGAGUUCACAUCCUUCCCUCCCAGCUGUUUGCUCUGCAGCACAUUUUAUCUUUAUUCUAUUUGAGGGUCAACACCAAAACCAAGGGGGGGGCAAAAUCAGUGGCCCUGGAUGCUUUGGGGUUGUAACCCACUGGGAUUACCCAUGGAGGGGAUGAGAGAGAUUUAAAAACAUCCCAGGAACGCCCUGUGGAGCCUUCCCAUGGCACAGCCUCUCCGACCUGGGUUUCUCCAUCCAGAAAAGUUUUCCUGACACCUGAGUCAGCUCCUUCCUCCACGGCUCAGUCCCACACUGACCUGCAGAACAGAUUUAUCCCGCUCACUGCCCUUUGUGGCUUUGCACAGGGUUUGACCUGACUGAGGUUUUCACCUGUGCAGGUUGAUGUGAGCAUAACCAACCUAAAAUGCUGGGCUGUUUCCUCUCUGCUUUGUUUUCUCCUCUCUGCACUCUUAACCUUAUACUGAGUGCUGGAAUUACCACUGGGCUGAAAAUCCCCCUUGGGGACAUCCUAUUGUCCCACCCUGCUUGUGAAGGCUUUGGAGCAAACACCUCCUCCCUGAAGCUCUUAAUUGUGGGGUUAGGUUGGUUAAUUUUUUUAAUUCCCUCCACCAGCAAAAUACAGGCACAUUUUUCACCCAGGGAAGGUGGAGCUUGAGAGAGUGAGCCAGGUUUGGGCAAUAGAAAUCAGAUUUAUGCACAAAAAAAAAAAAAAAUAAAAAUUCUCAAAAGUAUUGAACUACUUCAAAGUCCAGGUUUGGGUUGCAAGUGUGAGAAUGAGGAUGUUUUCCAGAGGCUGUCACAUGAAUUGGGGGUGCCCAGGGGGCUGCAGUGAUGCUCCCAGGCACCAUUCCCACCCCACCCUGCUCAUCCCAGGCUCACCCCAGGGCACAGGGACCUGCCCAGGGACGGACCCAGCCUGGCUUGGCUCUGCUGGACUUGGCUCAGGCACUUCUGCGUGGGGGAGUGGAGGGGCAGGAGGGUCCUGGUGCUGCCACCAGCGGGGGGGACGUGGCUGUGGUGCUGCUCAGGGGUCACCUAAGGAGGGGACAGCACCCUCAAGGUGCUGCUGCCCAGUCGAGGGGGAAUUUAUGGGUGAGUGAGAGUUUGAGGCUUCUAAAGUGCAGUGCAGGUUACAUGGUCUUUGCUGUAGACUGUAAACUCCUCAGGACAGACUCCUUGCCCUUACUUUUAUUUUAUUUUAUUUUUUAUAUCUGUAAAGUGACAUUCCAGCUGAGAAAACCUUACCCCUAAACAACUACUACUACAGGAAAAAACGGGAAUCUUGGUGAAAGGAACAGCCUGGGCUCCCCUUGCCAGCGUCCCAUCAUGGGGAGUGCUUCCCAUGGCCACAGGGAGUUCCUGCCAGCUGUGCACCUCUGGAAUGCACCCUCCAAAAUUCCACCCCCCAGUGCUACGACCUGGCCCCCUCCAAGCAAAACUUCCACGUGUCAUUAAAGCUGAGGUGUUAAUUCAGGCUCAGGGGAGCCUGCAAAGCUUCUGUUCAGGCUGCUGGGUGUCUGGAAAGGGAGGGAGAGAUGGAAAAGUUGCUGGGAGGAAAUUUGAGAGCUCUUCUGUGGAAAGAGCUCUCUGAAGAAGCCAAGUUCAGCCUUAACUUUGUCUCUGGAGUAAAAACUUCCCAAAAUGAAGCAGCUGCAAAAGCAGGAGCUCUCGUGGGAUGGGAUGAUUGCUCUUCUCUAGGUCUCUUCCCCAGGUGGGAAAUUAGAACUUAGAAACUGCCUAAUCCAUUCUUCCUAGAGGACACUGAUCCUCUAAGAGCCACCAGCACCACCAGCCAGCUCCAGUGGUCACUAAAUCAGGAGACAGGGAACACUGCAGGACCUCUCCAACCUCCAGAAACCUGAGCAGGACCAGCCUUCACACCUGCUGUACCAUCAGAAAAAUCCCCUUUCAGAUGAACCUGGGAUGUCCAAGAGGUUCCUGAUGGACCUCAAGGAUGACAACCUUCCAUCAAUAUCUCCAAAAGAACCAAAAUGUCUCCAACAAAACCAAAAUGCCUCCAAUUCACUGUUCCACUGACUCCAUUUGUAUGUUCACAGGAUAUUUCCCCCCUCGUUGACAGCCAUAUUUAUUAUUUUUAAUCUAUGCCCAUAAAUUGGCAAGCAGGGGGAAGCAGAUAAAAUGGAAAAAGGAACUCUCAGGAGAUCAGUUGGGCUCAUUAAAUGUUUGGCACUCUGUGAUUAUCCUUUGGCAAUGAAAUGCCACUGCUAUAUUUUAGCAGGGAACACGAUACCUUAAUGUACAGGAGAAUCUCCUCAGCCCAAUUCUGGUACUCUUGAGAGAGGAGAAAUUCAAUCAUCUGUGACCUGGAUUGUAUUUUUUUAAUGUCUGCCAAGCUAGAUAAAAUAUUUAAAUAUUCACUUUUAUAUCAGCCCACAUGAGGAUUUGAGCAUUUCAGGUUGUGUAACACAGCAUGGCCUACUUUGGGGAGGAUGUACAGAAAUAGGCACAUAUGUACAAAAUAGUGAGUGUGCAGCAUGUGGGGCAGACAGACAGACAGACAGACAGAGUUAAUUAGUGUGGCACAAUCCCAGCUGCACCAGCCUGGGAAUUGCUGUCACUUCUGUUGGAUCUCAAAGGUCACCUGAGCAAAAACCAGGUGAAUCUGCCUCAAAUAAAGGUGGUCAAGCUUGGCUGAGUCCCUGUCUUGGGUUACAAUACAGGAUGUGACAGAAAUGUGGAUUCUGUCCCCACCUGCUGCAGCCGGGUGGGGCAGUGCCCCUGAUCUCCUGGCACACAUUAUCUGCUCAUGGGCCAGCUUUAAACCAGCUGGGCAAUCAUCUUUAUCUUCCCACAGCCCAUCCUCCCUCCAGGAGAUAUCUCCUGUUCAUGGCCACUGAGUCCCAGGGCAUGGCUGAUAAAAUUCCAUCCCCCCCCCCCCCCCCCCCCCCCCCCCCCCCCCCCCCCCCCCCCC